rnacentral:lncRNA from 1 species
AAGUAGGAAAUUGACAGAACACUAUAAAUCAGCUAUAAUGGAAAAAACAAAAAUCAUUAUUAAAAAAAGAAAGAAAGAAAGGUAGUAUAGUCCAUUUUAAAACCAAACUACCAUUAGCCAGGAUCCAGAUGCAUAUUCCAAACAGCCUGAAUUUUUUGGAUUUAGUUGUGUCUUCCAAUCUGUACACAGUUUGAGCUGGAGCAGGAGGAAAUGGUUAGGUGUGCUUUCUAUUCUUUAAAUUCUCCCACCCUUCACCCCCAGCUCACCUGAGAAAGGUCCUUAAAAUUAAAGAACUGUCAUUGUCAUCCCUUUGGUCUCCUCCCCAGGAUCCCAUCAACUUCUUCUUUCUCAGUCCUGAUUCAGGUCCCGUGCACCACUAUGCUGAGUCUCUGCUUUAGGACGUGUCGCCAAUACCUGCUUCUGUCAUCCUGGCCUUGAUGUUAGCACCAGAUAGAAAGGAAGAAAACCAGAAAGGUUUAAAAUAGGAAAUAUUCUCUGUGCACAUCAACACAUGAUUUGGAUAAAAUCAGCAACUCUUUCUUCACUGAGCAAAAAAGGAGGCUCUUGAUUUUUUUCAGAAAAGAAGACCUGGAAUAGGGACUGAACAUGCAGUAAUGAAAUAGACACAAACAGUUUUUAGUGUGAUCACCACAAGAAUCUCUUUAACAGAACUUACACAGCGAUCACGGGGAAGGAUUGUUUUCUUGACUUGAUUUAUGGAGCACAAAUCUUCUUUUCAUGAAGACCUUAAGUUAUACAUGUGUCCUAUAAAGGUGAGGAAAAAAUUCAUAAUUUUUUUAUAUUAUUUUCAUUUCUAUUUCAUCCCAUUCAUAAUUUUAUUACCCUCAUUUCUAAUUUAAUUUGCAAAGGAAUUAUGUGGUCACACUUACCAUUUUUAACACUGCCUUUAAGAAAUGCUGCUCUCUUGAGCAAGAACUCAGACCCUGCUGGAGAGCUAGAGUAGAUUCAUACAGACCUGGCUUGGAAACAGCCUUCUGGUUUCAUUCUUAUUAACCUUUAGAGGUUUGAUCAUA